AGUGGCGCACGGGUGAGUAACACGUGAAUCAUCUACCCUCGAGUGGGGAAUAACCUAGAGAAAUCUGGGCUAAUACCGCAUAACACUUACGAGUCAAAGCAGCAAUGCGCUUGGGGAGGAGUUCGCGGCCGAUUAGUUAGUUGGCGGGGUAAUGGCCCACCAAGACGAUGAUCGGUAUCCGGCCUGAGAGGGCGCACGGACACACUGGAACUGAAACACGGUCCAGACUCCUACGGGAGGCAGCAGUGGGGAAUUUUGCGCAAUGGGGGAAACCCUGACGCAGCAACGCCGCGUGGAGGAUGAAAUCCCUUGGGAUGUAAACUCCUUUCGAUUGGGAAGAUUAUGACGGUACCAAUAGAAGAAGCCCCGGCUAACUUCGUGCCAGCAGCCGCGGUAAUAUGAGGGGGGCAAGCGUUUUCGGAAUUAUUGGGCGUAAAGGGAGCGUAGGCGGUUUGACAAGUCUUAUGUGAAAUCUAUGGGCUCAACCCAUAGUCUGCAUGAGA
rnacentral:rRNA from 1 species